UGUGUGUGGGGGGGGGGGGAAGCGCUUAGUUUUCCAAGAUGGAAGACUGGAGAUAAUAAAGCAUGCAUUUGACACUAUGUAGUUUGUCCAUAUAUUUGCACUCAAAUGGAAAUGUGUAAUCCCUUCUAAUCUUAGUGAAAUGAUUUGAAGUCGUUUUGCUCGAUUAUUACUAAUUGUCCAGUACUAUGUUAUUAAGUUCGUUCAUGAAUGAUACUUUGUGCUAUAUCAGAACAUAGUUCGGUUACCUCAGUUCCAGUAUAGUACUGUUUGAGUGUAUUGAAGUUUGAAUGCAAUAGUGAUAGAGUGGUUGCUUCAUAAACUACUAUGUUAUUUGAAGAACUUGGAUAUGAAUUGAUUUGAUUCUGGGAAGAAAAUUUUGAAACGCAUAUUCUUAUACGUGCGAAUUUUGUUAAUGAUAAUGGAAUCGACUUUAUGCAAUUACAUAACAUACGUGAUAAGCCAAAGGCAAAAUCUUUGGCCAAUUCUCUCAUAUCCCUCUAGAAAGAAACAGAACAGGACUGGUAACCCCAAAUGAUAGGUACAUACCUUUUUUGUUAUUUUUCUUUUAAUUCAUGUGUCAAGUUAAUGCUUAUCAGUGAUGUGCCUUAAACAACUCAGAUUUCCUAUUUUGGGAAUUGAAUUCACCUUUUUGUCCCUGUGUAAUGCCCUGUGAUGCAUGCCCACUGUCCCUCUCAUGUACAUAGUUAAUGAGAUAAAAACUUUUGGCUUCAUUUCCAUUGAAAGAAUUAGUUGCAAAUUAAUUUUGAUAUAAUAUUUUAUGUAGGAUAGAUAAUAUACACUUUUGAUUUUUAUGUAUUCCUGGUGUGGGUAAAGUUACAUAUGCCAUUAAAGAACCCACAACACUGAAAUUUGUGCGUAGUAUUUCGUAUUUGUUGCAGAAUUUUUGCCAUUUGUACCACAAUUUGUUAUAUAGAAAACUAUUUAAAUGUGAAAAAAGCAUGCAUUUCUGGAAUGUGUAACAGUAUAACCUGCUUUUGUCUUUUGUUUUCUACUUAGCAAUGUUUUCUGUGAGAGGCUUUUAGUAAGU